AUAAUCUCAAUUUUUGAUGAUUAUGCAUAGUGCACACCUUUUCUACAGGCACUGGGCUACUGGGGGAUCACCAUUAUUGUAAUUUUUCUUGCCGGUUUAGCCUUCAUUAGUGUAAUUGCCCUAAUACUAAAAAAGGUGAGUGAUUACUUGACAAUGCUGUAUAAUAAUUACGUGAUUGCAAACAUGUUAUAGAAAAAAGCAAAGGAAGCCUCACAGAAUAGAGUAAAGAACAUCGCAACUAUGCGACUAAGACUGGUGGCAGGAGAUGUCUCUUUGGAAAAAUGUGGUCUCCCAAAUUACAAACUGAACUUGUCAUGCAGUGAGGUGUGAAGUCAUUGUAUUUGCACCCACAAACUGAUGUGAUAUACCUUGCCUUAAAAAUGAAAGAUUCGGUCACUAUCAUUGACAAAAGAAGACUUGUGUGAUAUCAGCCUUAUUAAUAAUAAUUAUUGUGCGCUUGUUGUCAAUAAUAUUAUUGAUACCUAUAUAUUUAUGCCAGUGUUGAAAGUUGAAACUGACAGAUACAUAGAUACCAAUUUUAUAGGAAUUAAUUUUAGCAAGCUUGCAAACUGUAGAUCUGGAGUACAUGAAGGGAGUAAGCAACCUACUAUACAACCCAUUAUUAUUGGGGCGAGCGAAGCGAGUCCCUACCUAGUCUUCAACGUUGCAAUUUUGUCUGUAUGCCAUAAUUAUGUCAUGGACCGGCACAAUGAUUUGCUUUUGGGACUCAUGAUCCUUGCCGACUUCCACCGUUGCAGUACCCUUGUUCAGUUAAUGUUUAUUGUGUAUUGGGUCUUUACCCUUUGUUUUUUAUUUGCAUCAGCUGUUGGAUUGUCACCGUGCCAAUGGAAAAGUUUCUCGUACCUAUGAUAUGCUGCUAUUGAGCUGAGGGAGGUAGUGGACCAUCUCAGUAAGAUGGAGAAUAGCAACAGGCAAAGGAAGUCCUGAGGCUGGCCUCUUGUUACGUACAUUAUAUCAUUAUAAUGGAUAUUGUCCUCAUCAAAAUUCUGAGAAUCCAGGAUGGGAAAUUAAAUUCUAAGUUGGAGUCCUAAUGACUACAAGGGAGUUCCUGGUCCACCUCUCUCCAGAGGAGAGACAACCACACCUACCCACACUGCUAACCAGCCAUUUGAUUGAAGAUUAAUGACAAUUCUAAUUGCUUGACUGAAGUGAUUGAUUAAUGGAUGAUGAAUAGUUGCUCUGGACGACCAACCUGGAGGGAGCUGGCUGAUCAUCUCUGUAUAAGAUCAGAGAAGAGCAACUGGCAAAGGAACUUAAGACCAGCUACGAGAUUGCAGGUGGACUUCUACAUCUCCCAGAGCCAGGCGGCCAACCAUGCAGUGAGAGAGGCAGCCUGCAUCUGCACUGCAGAGCUGGGCACUAAGAUGAGCAAGGAUUGUCUUAGACUGUAUGCAGGUGUACUGUUAGAGUAUACUGUUAGAGUGUUUCCAUGACGAUAACUGGCCAGCCCGUGAGAGAUGGUUAGUGUCAGUCAAGUAAAUCAUCUAUUCUUUAUUUUACUCACCCCUUUGCCGCCUGUCUGGCCUGUGGUAACUUCUUGGGAUGCUUCCCAGAUGAGUGCAGAUCGUAGCUGGAUGAACUGUUCCCACUGUUCCUUGCCAAUCUUGAAGACAGCAUACCCUCAGUUAGACAAGGGACAGCUACUGCUCUCACCAGCGUCACCAAAGCCUAUGAUCAUCAAGUUGUGGGUGACCACUACAUUCCUUGUCUUAUCUCCAUCUUGUACUUCACUUGUACAGCACUUAAAGUUUCUCUAUCUCUUUCUCUAACCUUCUCCACUGGUAUUGAUCCUGGACCGGGUGUAUUUAAGGUGGUGCAUCAUCCAUAACAACCCAGACCAGUAGAUGUACUCGUGUGAUUCACUGGCCCCCAAAAUGAGGAGGGGAGGAUGUAUGGACUCACACUAUCACAAGCUGGGAGAGCUGUGGGAGAAGAGUGAAGGUUGCCAGUGUUUGCCAAGUUACUGGGUGAGAGAAUGUUCAAGAGACACCUAGAGUUGUAUCUUCUAUGGACUGAGCAGUGACAAUACCCUGGUGCAGUCUGCUGGAGUGGACUGUCUCACCUCACUCUGUCAGCUGCUGGGGAGAAUAAUCCUCAGAGGGAGAAUAGAACAACAUAAUCUAACCUCUUCUGGUAUUGAUCCUGGACCUGUCACCAGCUGUGGUGCAUCUCAUAUCCAUGACGACCCGGCCCACACAGGCCAGCAGAUGUACUCGUGUGGUUCAGUGACCCCAAAAUGAGGAGGGGAGGAUGUAUGGACUCACACUAUCACAACCCAGGAGAACCGUGGGAGAAGAGUGAAGGGUAAAGUUGCUUGCUUGCUUGAUUGACUAUUAAUGGAUGAUGAAGAGUUAAUUACUCUGGAAGACCAAUUAAUUAACCUAGAGGAGCUGGCAGACUAUGUAAGAUAGGAUCAACUGCAUGGCAAAGGAACUCCUGAGGCUGGUGAUCUUGACUCCUCUGAUAUUGAUCAUGGACCGGCUGUAUUUGGCGUGGUGCAUCGUAUUCAUGACAACCCAGACCAGCAGAUGUACCGGUGUGGUUCAUUGGCCCCCAAAAUGAGGAGGGGAGGAUGUAUGGACUCACACUAUCACAAGCCGGGAGAGCUGUGGGAGAAGAGUGAGGUUUUAUUAUUGUGCUUGGAGAGCUGAGUGGUGUGAGUGGAUGUGGUGACCGAGUGUCCUCCCUCCUCUGUGCUGAGACACUACAACACAGACACUACCCUCAACACAUCAACCUCCUGGAGUCACUGCUCAAACUGCUUUAAAGUGUUUGCCAAGUCGCUGGGUAAGAGAGUGUUCAAGAGACACGUCGAUCUAUUCCUGAACUCUAUCCUGGAGUGCCUAUACAGAGCAGUGACAAUGCCCUGGUACAGUCUGCUGGAGUGGACGAGCUGUCUCACCUCACCCUGUAACAACACAAUCCAACGUGAAUCUUUGCGUAAUGGCAGACUGUCUACAUGUGUGUAGCUUAUACAAGUACAUUGCAAUUGCUUAUUUUUUCUUAUGCUAUGAUGCACUUCCUUUUAACUGUAUGUAUAUAGGUUGACAGAACAGUAACUGAACAAUGUGUACUCGUUUCUUUGUUGAUAUUAUUAAUGAAUGUGCUAUAAUUAUUAUUGUUUAUAAUUAUUAUUUUCAAACAAAUCAUUACCAAUC